rnacentral:tRNA from 3 species
GGGAGUGUGGCUUAGCUGGGAGAGCGCUUGCAUGGCAUGCAAGAGGUCAGUGCUUAGCUCCCU